UACGUAGGGGGCAAGCGUUGUCCGGAAUCAUUGGGCGUAAAGCGCGUGUAGGCGGUUCGGUAAGUCUGCUGUGAAAGUCCAGGGCUCAACCCUGGGAUGCCGGUGGAUACUGUCGGGCUAGAGUACGGAAGAGGCGAGUGGAAUUCCCGGUGUAGCGGUGAAAUGCGCAGAUAUCAGGAGGAACACCGGUGGCGAAGGCGGGACUCUGGGCCGAUACUGACGCUGAGGAGCGAAAGCGUGGGGAGCAAACAGG
rnacentral:rRNA from 1 species